AUUGAACGCUGGCGGCAGGCCUAACACAUGCAAGUCGAACGAGUGGCGGACUGGUGAGUAAUGUCUGGGAAACUGCCUGAUGGAGGGGGAUAACUACUGGAAACGGUAGCUAUUACCGCAUACCUUCGGCUGUUCCCAGGUGGGAUUAGCUAGUAGGUGGGGUAAAGGCUCACCCAGGUGACCAUCACUAGCUGGUCUGAGAGGAUGACAAGACAGAAUGGAACUGAGACACGGUACAGAGUCAAACGGGAGGAAGCAGUGGGGGAUAGUGCACAAUGGGCGCAAGCCUAAUGCGGCAAUACCGCGUGUAUGAAGAAAACCUUCGGGUUGUAAAGUAGUUGAAGCGGGGAGGCGUAGCCCGCAGAAGAAGCACCGGGUAGCGCCGUGCCAGGAGCCGCGGUAAAAG
rnacentral:rRNA from 1 species